rnacentral:rRNA from 1 species
GAGUGGACGCAUCACUGGUGUUCGGGUUGUCAUGCCAAUGGCACUGCCCGGUAGCUAAAUGCGGAAGAGAUAAGUGCUGAAAGCAUCUAAGCACGAAACUUGCCCCGAGAUGAGUUCUCCCUGACUCCUUGAGAGUCCUGAAGGAACGUUGAAGACGACGACGUUGAUAGGCCGGGUGUGUAAGCGCAGCGAUGCGUUGAGCUAACCGGUACUAAUGAACCGUGAGGCUUAACCUUACAACGCCGAAG